rnacentral:tRNA from 1 species
GGCCCUUUAGCUCAGUUGGUUAGAGCACUCGACUCAUAAUCGAUAGGUAACUGGUUCAAAUCCAGUAAGGGCCA